rnacentral:rRNA from 1 species
GACGAACGCUGGCGGCGUGCUUAACACAUGCAAGUCGAACGGAAAGGCCCUGCUUUUGUGGGGUGCUCGAGUGGCGAACGGGUGAGUAACACGUGAGUAACCUGCCCUUGACUAUGGGAUAACUUCAGGAAACUGGGGCUAAUACCGGAUAGGAGCUCCUGCUGCAUGGUGGGGGUUGGAAAGUUUCGGCGGUUGGGGAUGGACUCGCGGCUUAUCAGCUUGUUGGUGGGGUAGUGGCUUACCAAGGCUUUGACGGGUAGCCGGCCUGAGAGGGUGACCGGCCACAUUGGGACUGAGAUACGGCCCAGACUCCUACGGGAGGCAGCAGUGGGGAAUAUUGCACAAUGGGCGGAAGCCUGAUGCAGCAACGCCGCGUGCGGGAUGACGGCCUUCGGGUUGUAAACCGCUUUCGCCUGUGACGAAGCGUGAGUGACGGUAAUGGGUAAAGAAGCACCGGCUAACUAUGUG